GGAGGUAUGGCAGAUUGGCUAUGCAUCCGGCUUUUAACCGGAACAACGUAGGUUCGAUUCCUACUGCCUCCA
rnacentral:tRNA from 1 species